rnacentral:piRNA from 1 species
UAGAACAUGGGACCUAACUGGAACACUUGC